rnacentral:rRNA from 1 species
GACGAACCGAGCGAACGUUGUUCGGAAUCACUGGGCUUAAAGGGCGCGUAGGCGGGCUGGACAGUCCGGGGGUGAAAUCCCCCCCGCUCAACGGGGGGAACGGCCUCGGAUACUUUCGGCCUGGAGGGGGGUAGGGGCGGGCGGAACUGUGGGUGGAGCGGUGAAAUGCGUUGAGAUCCACAGGAACUCCGGUGGCGAAGGCGGCCCGCUGGACCCUUACUGACGCUGAGGCGCGAAAGCCAGGGGAGCGAACGGG